UACGAAGGGGGCUAGCGUUGUUCGGAAUCACUGGGCGUAAAGGGCGCGUAGGCGGCUUUAUAAGUCGGGGGUGAAAGCCUGUGGCUCAACCACAGAAUUGCCUUCGAUACUGUAGAGCUUGAGACCGGAAGAGGUAAGUGGAACUGCGAGUAUAGAGGUGAAAUUCGUAGAUAUUCGCAAGAACACCAGUGGCGAAGGCGGCUUACUGGUCCGGUUCUGACGCUGAGGCGCGAAAGCGUGGGGAGCAAACAGG
rnacentral:rRNA from 1 species